GUGAGGAAUUUUCCGCAAUGGGCGAAAGCCUGACGGAGCAAUGCCGCGUGAAGGAUGAAGGCCUAUGGGUUGUAAACUUCUUUUCUUAGAGAAGAAUAUUGACGGUAUCUGAGGAAUAAGCAUCGGCUAACUCUGUGCCAGCAGCCGCGGUAAGACAGAGGAUGCAAGCGUUAUCCGGAAUGAUUGGGCGUAAAGCGUCUGUAGGUGGCUUCAAAAGUCUCCUGUCAAAGAUCAGGGCUUAACCCUGGGCCGGCAGGAGAAACUCUGAGGCUAGAGUUUGGUAGGGGCAGAGGGAAUUCCCGGGGGAGGGGUGAAAUGCGUAGAGAACGAGAGGAACACCAAAGGCGAAAGCACUCUGCUGGGCCACAACUGACACUGAGAGACGAAAGCGAGGGGAGCAAAAGGGAUUAGAAACCCUGGUAGUCC
rnacentral:rRNA from 1 species